AGAGUUUGAUCAUGGCUCAGGACGAACGCUGGCGGCGCGCCUAACACAUGCAAGUCGAACGAGAGAGAAGGAGCUUGCUUCUUCGAUCGAGUGGCGAACGGGUGAGUAACGCGUGAGGAACCUGCCUCAAAGAGGGGGACAACAGUUGGAAACGACUGCUAAUACCGCAUAAGCCCACGGGUCGACAUCGACCUGAGGGAAAAGGAGCAAUCCGCUUUGAGAUGGCCUCGCGUCCGAUUAGCUAGUUGGUGAGGUAACGGCCCACCAAGGCGACGAUCGGUAGCCGGACUGAGAGGUUGAACGGCCACAUUGGGACUGAGACACGGCCCAGACUCCUACGGGAGGCAGAA
rnacentral:rRNA from 1 species